UGGGGAAUUUUGGACAAUGGGCGAAAGCCUGAUCCAGCAAUGCCGCGUGUGUGAAGAAGGCCUUCGGGUUGUAAAGCACUUUUGUCCGGAAAGAAAUCCUUGGCUCUAAUACAGUCGGGGGAUGACGGUACCGGAAGAAUAAGCACCGGCUAACUACGUGCCAGCAGCCGCGGUAAUACGUAGGGUGCAAGCGUUAAUCGGAAUUACUGGGCGUAAAGCGUGCGCAGGCGGUUUGCUAAGACCGAUGUGAAAUCCCCGGGCUCAACCUGGGAACUGCAUUGGUGACUGGCAGGCUAGAGUAUGGCAGAGGGGGGUAGAAUUCCACGUGUAGCAGUGAAAUGCGUAGAGAUGUGGAGGAAUACCGAUGGCGAAGGCAGCCCCCUGGGCCAAAUACUGACGCUCAUGCACGAAAGGCGUGGGGAGCAAACAGGAUUAGAUACCCUGGUAGUCCACGCCCUAAACGAUGUCAACUAGUUGUUGGGGAUUCAUUUCCUAGUAACGUAGCUAACGCGUGAAGUUGACCGCCUGGGGAGUAC
rnacentral:rRNA from 1 species